rnacentral:tRNA from 1 species
CCUUAUAGACGGCAUUCGGUCAGCAAGAAUUCACAACAAGUUGUUCUUUAGUUUAAGCUUACGUUUUAGGACGUACUAGGGUCUGUAGCUCAGCUGGUUAGAGCACCGUGUUGAUAACGCGGGGGUCGGUGGUUCAAGUCCACCUAGACCCACCACUAUACAUGGGGCCAUAGCUCAGUUGGUAGAGCGCCUGCCUUGCACGCAGGAGGUCAACGGUUCGACUCCGUUUGGCUCCACCACUACAAACCUCGGUAGCUUAGAGUGCAAAUAAAUACAAUAAGUAUUAAAUAGAAACAAGUGAUUUAUCUUGAAUAAGACACGAUUACUUCUUUCUGUUUUAUACGGAAAUCUAUGACUUGACGAGAGCAUAGAGACUAUUUAAAAACAUAGAUAUGAGUCUGGGUUAGCAAUAACAUUUCACGUGUUAUUGUUAACCUGAAGACUAGCCUUUUAACGACAUUGUUUGUUAUCCCAAGGGCUAGUCUUCAAAGUAAAGAGAACUGAAUCAAGCGUAAACAUAGGUGAUAUCGUUAUAAUUGCUGACAAAGACCCUUUGGGGUUGUAU